UUGGAAUCCAAGUCGAUUGAAAGCAUGGUCAAUUAAAGGAGCAGAGGGAAGCAUCAAUGCUACACUUGAAGCUGAAUCAAAGUUAGGUUUCUCUAACACCAGAAAGACUUUUUCAUCUGCAGUUCUUUUCUAAAGCUAUUUGCAUGCUAGGUUGUGUUACAAGAUUGUAUUUUUAUGCUUGUGUACACUAUGAGUUUGCCCAUCCGGGUCUUUUUUUACAUGUAAGCUCUUUAAUAUUACAAAAUCUGCCAUUCUGCAUGAAAAGUUUAAGCACAAUAUUUGUUUUGAAAGAAGUUUUGAGUUCUCUGAUUUCAGUACAAAUGCAUGAAAGUUAGAAUAGUAUGUGCUUGUCGAAUUUUAAUGUAAGGUCAAUCACAUGUGUAAUGUGUUGGUCGAAUUUUGUAAAUAAAACAAUAUCAGGCUUUGCGAGCUCGUCAAGCCUCCGAUGAGUCAAGCUUGAGCUUGAGCUCAUCCCUAAGCUCGCGAGCUGAGCUAGAGCUCACCAUUUGGCUCGUGAUGCAAAUCAAGCUCAAGCCGAACUUCAUUAUAUUCGCGUGUGCUUUGUUGUUUCCCUUACAAUCAUUUAGUCCACCAAAGAACAUAAUUAUUUCCAAUUCCUUGCCUUCUGAUGUGAACUAUAAACUUGUUCAUGUUUUUGUAGAUGGGUGAUGCUCUGUCAACAGAAGCAUCCAAAGUUCAUAUGGACAGAAGAAGUGUUUAGCAAAGGCUUCUCUUGUUUACGACAGCAAGGGCGAAGCUCAUUUGCCCGCAAGAUAAUUUUAGUUCCUCUGUCGAACUGAAUCAUAUUCUUUUGGUGUUAUCUAACCCUGCACAUGAAGCUCCAUGAGCGACAAGCAUUAGAGCUGGAGGCAAAGUUCAACUGAAUAAUAUUCUGUCAUGUGCGUGUACGAUCUAAAAAAAUAAAGCUAGUACAGUUUAAUUAGAAU
rnacentral:lncRNA from 1 species